UACGGAGGGAGCUAGCGUUGUUCGGAAUUACUGGGCGUAAAGCGCGCGUAGGCGGCUUUGUAAGUUAGAGGUGAAAGCCCGGGGCUCAACCCCGGAAUUGCCUUUAAGACUGCAUCGCUUGAAUCCGGGAGAGGUGAGUGGAAUUCCGAGUGUAGAGGUGAAAUUCGUAGAUAUUCGGAAGAACACCAGUGGCGAAGGCGACUCACUGGACACGUAUUGACGCUGAGGUGCGAAAGCGUGGGGAGCAAACAGG
rnacentral:rRNA from 1 species